CAUAAAAGCAUUAUGUCCAGAUUUUCAUUUGGUGAUAUGUGUUUGUUUAGAAUUUGAAGAACCAAGAGUGAUUGAUUUGUGGGACAUGGCAAAAUCAGCCAAUUUCACUGAGAAAGAGCUAGAAUCUUUUCGGGAGGAGCUGAAACACUUUGAAGCAAAAAUUGAAAAACAAUCAUCACUAUCAGAAGCAAUUGGAGAUUUCACACGAGAAACUAAAACAUAUAGAGGGAACUGGAGAUAAGGAACAUUUGAACAGAAACAGAGAGAAAUAUGCCAUGCUAGAAGAAAAGACAAAAGAGCUUGGAUAUAAGGUAAAGAAGCAUUUGCAAGAUUUAUCCAGCAGAAUCUCUCAAGGUCUUCAACACAAUGAAUUAUAAACGUCUGUUCUCCUUCAUGGGAUCAAUUUUUGAACAUAAGACAAAUAACAGAGGGAUUUUAUGAACAGGGUUAGCCAAGCAGUCCUUCCGAAAUUCUAAGGAUUGAAGAGUUGUCCUGUAAGAAAACAUUCUGUGGUCCACUUAGUUUUGUAUUUGCACUAUCACAAUAAAUGAUUACAUUAUAAAUCUGAAUCAAGUAACAGCCUUUGAAAUAAGUCACUUCACAAGGGAGUGUGAACUCUCAGAAGAUUCCUGCUAGUAAAACAAAUACUGAUCUUAUAGUUAGUCAAAGUAUUCUGAUCAAUGAAAGCAAACACCUGAAGUUGUUAAGAGAAGUUUAAUAUUUCAUUGUUUGGUUUGAUGCAUUUUCUACUGAAGGUAAUUAAAAUGUUUCUACUUGCUGAGCAUUGACUCAGAGCUGUACUGUAUAUGAAUCUUUCAUGUGAGAGGAGGAGGACGAAUAAAGAAGGAAUAAGUGUUGAGGUCAAUUCACAGAACUUGCAGACUGACACACCUGAAGUUACUGAAUGUACGUGUACAAUUGUGUUAUUCAUAGUUGCUUGGUUUUGUUACACUUAGUCAUUAAAAAUCAAAACAAGAUACCAA